AUCGUCCUCUCCUAUUCUCUUAAAUAAUUUUAUUACAUUUACAUUUUGAUUCAUUGGAAUCUUUGGUCCAUUUUUGCCCCCGCCACGCCAGCUGCACUGCACAACUAAUUCUUUAGCAAAUAAUAAUAUAAAACUAUUGUGCAUUCGACCUUUGGCAUCAUUUGUCUUGGUUUGAAUUCUUUGUGUUAACUGGUAACAAAUAUUUUGAAAAUAUGUGUCUUCAGCCAACUGAUCAUUAAAAGAUUUCAGUUCUGCAGCGGUUGUAAGGCGAGGUAUUUGAAUUGGUAUAUUUUCCUGAUCCAUUGCUUCGGUGAAUUUUCUUCGAUGGUCUGUGCGAUACUCCAUUUCGGCCCAAACACCUGCUAUAGACGUGUUAAUGUUGGACAAUUUUUUAAGGGUUGUUCUCUUAAACUCUGCAUCACUUAUCUCCAUUGCUGAAGAUCCAUGUCGUGCCGAAAUUUCAAUUUCGCCGAAUGGUGUUUGUUGCAGAGCUUCAGAAGCAACAGAUGGUAUUGCAGGGCUAUACGUAUAUCUUGGUUUCCCGGUUGAUGACUGGGCCAGGUGUUGUUGUACUGCUGAGAUAAUCACUGGUUGUUUUUUGGCAUUUUCAUUUUCAGGAUCUGCAGCAAGGCUUGCGACAUGGAUACUGGACGAAGUUGAGUUUUGCGGUCCAGAUGAUUUGGUUUUCUUUGAUGUUCCAGGAAGCAAUAAGGAUGAUGCCGAAAUGAUGCUGGAUGAGGAUGUUGGUGGUCGGACGAGCUUUACUGGAGUGUUCACGGAAGCAUUGAUGAUGAUGCCGAGAGGAUGCGAGAUGAUGAUGCUGAUGUUGAUAACUGUACCAGUUUUGCUGGGGCAUUAACGCUGGGGAUUUGCCGUUGGUCGGCAAAUUUGAUCAGAUUUGAUAAUUACUGGUCUAUUUGCCUGUUUUGCACUUUCAGGAGCUGAUGACGGUGAUGCCGAAAGGACGCGGGGCGAGGAUGCUGAUGAUUGCACGAGCUUCGCUGGGGCAUUCACGUGAAGGACUGGUCGGCAAAUUCGUUCAGAUUUAAUAAUCACUGGUCUAUUUGCCUGUUUUGCACUUUCAGGAGCUGAUGACGGUGAUGCCGAAAGGACGCGGGGCGAGGAUGCUGAUGAUUGCACGAGCUUCGCUGGGGCAUUCACGUUAAGGACUGGUCGGCAAAUUCGUUCAGAUUUAAUAAUCACUGGUCUAUUUGCCUGUUUUGCACUUUCAGGAGCUGAUGACGGUGAUGCCGAAAGGACGCGGGGCGAGGAUGCUGAUGAUUGCACGAGCUUCGCUGGGGCAUUCACGUUAAGGACUGGUCGGCAAAUUCGUUCAGAUUUAAUAAUCACUGGUCUAUUUGCCUGUUUCGCAGUGCAAGGAGCUGAUGACGGUGAUGCCGAAAGGACGCGGGGCGAGGAUGCGAUGGCUGACGAUUGAACCAGGUUCACAGGGGCAUUCACAUGCCAGGAGCCGAUAAUGGAGAUGCCGAAAGGACGCAGGAUGAUUUUUUUGACCAUUGCACGAGCUUCACAGGGGCAUUCACGGAAGGAAUAAUGGUGAUGUAGAUAUGGAUGUCUUUAAUGGUACGAGGGUCGCUGGUACUACCGAUGCCUGCGCUUUUACGCUGAGAUCUGAAAAUGAUGCCAUCGGUGCCGUUAUCGUUUUAUACACGUUGUUUGAAGCCAUUUCGCGAAACGUAUCCUAAAUGAACAUUUUGUUUAUUUAGUGAACCAUUUGAUUUCAAUUUAUCCUAAUUAAUAGGUACCUUUUUUUGUUUUGAAGAAAAUCCGAGAGAAAUAAUGAAUAGAAAUAGAGAGAAAUAAUAAUAGAAAUAACAAA